AAUUAGAAUAUUAGGCUGUGUUUACAUAGUUCUGUGACAACAUGAGUAGUGCUUCCACCUCAGUGUAACUUCCUCUUUCAGACCAAGCAUAGACAGAAUUCCCAUUUUAUUAAUGUAGGAACGAAGGCACUGCUUGUGCUAAAUAAAUACAGUCAUCUCUACCAUCAUUUGUUUUUAUUUCAGGUAAGGAAGUAGGCUGUCUCAACCAACUUCCUGACAUGGAAAAAGGACUGUACUUGGCAGGUACAUCCUGUAUCUCCAGCCAGAUCUGAAGAAUUUCCACGACAGCAGCUGGGAAACUCUAGCCUUUGAUGAUUAAAGCAGAUUCCACAAAGAGGGGCGAGGCUAACAGUGCAGUAUCAUCUUUAGAAAAUGUAUUUAGACAAAAUGUAUUUCCAAGCCUUCUGACAAUAUCCUCAGGAUCCGAUGAAUGCUGAAGUUAACACAGUCUGUAACAGCUCUUAAAUCAUCAGUACUAUUGACUAGAAGGAGGUGGAAGAGGCAUGAUGGUGUUCUUCCAGCACUCAAACCAACCAGAAUUCCUUUUGAACACACUCAGGGAAAAUACUCCUGAACUUUACACUGAUUAAGGCUCAUUAAAUUAUCAGAAGAUGAACACUGGCAUAUAACAAGUUAUUACAAAAAGUAUGACUGCAACAAUUGACUUUUAAAAUCAUCUCUGUUCCUGCUCUUGAGCCAGUGUGGUCUACGUGUAACAAAACUGAAUCUGCCUGUCAUGUUUCCAUUCAAGUCAGCGCUUGAAGGGGGUCUGGAUUCACUUCCAUACCUUUGUGCCUUCAAUCAUCACCAGAUGGAGGGUGCACCAAUCGUCUUGGAUGUGAAGAGACCUACUGCUAUUCAACAGUGAUGGAAGUUGCUAACUGAAAGUCCAGCCCUUCAUAAGGGCUUACCACAGAAUUUACUGAGAAUGAAUGAAAAAGACAGCCUAGGAAAACUGUAGAUUGCGUGAAGGCGAAACAAUAUGCACUCUCUUAAUGCUGAUGUAUCCCAUAUAAAUUUCUGAAAAUUAUC